GAUGAACGCUAGCGGCAGGCUUAAUACAUGCAAGUCGUGGGGCAGCAGGUUUGUAGCAAUACAGAUGCUGGCGACCGGCAAACGGGUGCGGAACACGUACAGAACCUUCCUUUGAGCGGGGAAUAGCCCAGAGAAAUUUGGAUUAAUACCCCAUAGUAUAAUGAAGUGGCAUCACUUUAUUAUUAAAGAUUUAUCACUCGAAGAUGGCUGUGCGGCUGAUUAGGUAGUUGGCGGGGUAAAGGCCCACCAAGCCUGCGAUCAGUAACUGGGGUGAGAGCACGACCAGUCACACGGGCACUGAGACACGGGCCCGACUCCUACGGGAGGCAGCAGUAAGGAAUAUUGGUCAAUGGAGGCAACUCUGAACCAGCCAUGCCGCGUGGAGGAUGAAGGUCCUCUGGAUUGUAAACUUCUUUUAUAUGGGACGAAAAAAGGCUUUUCUAAGUCGUCUGACGGUACCAUAUGAAUAAGCACCGGCUAACUCCGUGCCAGCA
rnacentral:rRNA from 1 species